GACGAACGCUGGCGGCGUGCUUAACACAUGCAAGUCGAGCGGUAAGGCCCCUUCGGGGGUACACGAGCGGCGAACGGGUGAGUAACACGUGAGCAAUCUGCCCAUCACAUCGGGAUAACUCCGGGAAACCGAAGCUAAUACCGAAUACGACCACCUCCGGCAUCGGAUGGUGGUGGAAAGUUCCGGCGGUGAUGGAUGAGCUCGCGGCCUAUCAGCUUGUUGGUGGGGUAACGGCCCACCAAGGCUUCGACGGGUAGCCGGCCUGAGAGGGUGACCGGCCACACUGGGACUGAGACGCGGCCCAGACUCCUACGGGAGGCAGCAGUGGGGAAUAUUGGACAAUGGGCGAAAGCCUGAUCCAGCAACGCCGCGUGAGGGAUGACGGCCUUCGGGUUGUAAACCUCUUUCAGCAGGGACGAAGCGCAAGUGACGGUACCUGCAGAAGAAGCACCGGCCAACUACGUG
rnacentral:rRNA from 1 species